CACACGACAAAGCGUGAGGACUGGCGGACCAGGCACCCGUCCUCCUGACCUCUGGCUCAGGGGUGCUCCCAGAGAGGUGCCUCCUGGUCCACCCCGCGCCCGGGACAGGAGCCCAGAUGAAGCCCCACUCAGCCAGGUGAUAAGAAGACAAAGCUGGAGUGCGGUGGGGCAGCAGAGCUUGGACUUGGACAUCACCCUCCGACCCGUGCUAAGAGCUCCCGCAGGAUAAGGAGACAGAGGCUCAGAAAGGUUAAGGAUUGUGUGGAGAGCCAAGUGGGCUAGCUCCAGAGUGGGCACCCCUGAAUAUUUCUCUGCUGCCUCUGGAAGGGUCAGAUUCUCCAGAUAAAGGACACCAGCACUGCCCUCCCAAGCAACCUGAAUCUCAGGA